rnacentral:rRNA from 1 species
AGUGAACGCUGGCGGUAGGCCUAACACAUGCGAGUCGAACGGCAGCACAGUAAGAGCUUGCUCUUACGGGUGGCGAGUGGCGGACGGGUGAGGAAUACAUCGGAAUCUACUUUUUCGUGGGGGAUAACGUAGGGAAACUUACGCUAAUACCGCAUACGACCUACGGGUGAAAGCAGGGGAUCUUCGGACCUUGCGCGAUUGAAUGAGCCGAUGUCGGAUUAGCUAGUUGGCGGGGUAAAGGCCCACCAAGGCGACGAUCCGUAGCUGGUCUGGGAGGAUGAUCAGCCACACUGGAACUGAGACACGGUCCAGACUCCUACGGGAGGCAGCAGUGGGGAAUAUUGGACAAUGGGCGCAAGCCUGAUCCAGCCAUACCGCGUGGGUGAAGAAGGCCUUCGGGUUGUAAAGCCCUUUUGUUGGGAAAGAAAAGCAGCAGGUUAAUACCCCGCUGUUCUGACGGUACCCAAAGAAUAAGCACCGGCUAACUUCGUG